AACUUUCAGCAAUGGAUCUCUUGGCUCUCGCAUCGAUGAAGAACGCAGCGAAAUGCGAUAAGUAAUGUGAAUUGCAGAAUUCAGUGAAUCAUCGAAUCUUUGAACGCAUCUUGCGCUCCUUGGUAUUCCGAGGAGCAUGCCUGUUUGAGUGUCAUUAAAUUCUCAACUACACUUACUUGGUGUGGCUUGGAUUUGGGGGGUCAAUUGCAGGCUUGUCUGCUCCCCUGAAAUUAAUUAGUGGUACCUUGGCGGAACUGUCUACAGGUGUGAUAAUUAUCUACAUCUUUUAAGACAUCUGUAAAUGCUGCUUUCUAAACUUGUAAAAUGACAAUCUUGACCUCAAAUCAGGUAGGACUACCCGCUGAACUUAAGCAUAUCAAUAAGCGGAGGAAAAGAAACU
rnacentral:rRNA from 1 species